rnacentral:rRNA from 1 species
UACAGAGGUCUCAAGCGUUGUUCGGAUUCAUUGGGCGUAAAGGGUGUGUAGGUGGCGCGCUAAGUCGGGUGUGAAAUUUCGGAGCUUAACUCCGAAACUGCAUUCGAUACUGGCGUGCUUGAGGACUGGAGAGGAGACUGGAAUUCAUGGUGUAGCAGUGAAAUGCGUAGAGAUCAUGAGGAAGACCAGUGGCGAAGGCGGGUCUCUGGGCUGACACUGACGCUCAUGCACGAAAGCGUGGGGAGCAAACAGG